CAGUCGCCGCGGUAAAACGGAGGGUGCUAGCGUUGUUCGGAAUCACUGGGCGUAAAGGGCGCGUAGGCGGCCUGUCAAGUCGGAUGUGAAAGCCCGGGGCUCAACCCCGGAACUGCAUCCGAGACUGGCAGGCUUGAGACCGGGAGAGGAGGGUGGAAUAUCCAGUGUAGAGGUGAAAUUCGUAGAUAUUGGAUGGAACACCGGUGGCGAAAGCGGCUCUCUGGCCCGGAUCUGACGCUGAGGCGCGAAAGCGUGGGGAGCAAACAGGAUUAGAUACCCGUGUAGUCCCUGUCUCUUAUAC
rnacentral:rRNA from 1 species